CCCUUAGAGUUUGAUCCUGGCUCAGAUUGAACGCUGGCGGUAGGCUUAACACAUGCAAGUCGAGCGGUAACAGACAUUUUGAUUUUGCUUGCAAAAUCUCGUGCUGACGAGCGGCGAACGGGUGAGUAACGCGUAGGAAUCUACCUAGUAGAAGGGGAUAGCCCGAGGAAACUCGGAUUAAUACCGUAUACGUCCUUAGGGAGAAAGAGGGCUUAGCUUUGAUGCUCUCGCUAUUAGAUGAGCCUGCGUAAGAUUAGCUUGUUGGUGAGGUAAAGGCUCACCAAGGCGACGAUCUUUAGCUGGUCUGAGAGGACGAUCAGCCACAUUGGGACUGAGACACGGCCCAGACUCCUACGGGAGGCAGCAGUGGGGAAUAUUGGACAAUGGGCGCAAGCCUGAUCCAGCCAUACCGCGUGUGUGAAGAAGGCCUUCGGGUUGUAAAGCACUUUAAGUAAGGAAGAAAAGAGUAUUGUUAAUACCAAUACUCCGUGACAUUACUUACAGAAUAAGGACCGGCUAAUUCCGUGCCAGCAGCCGCGGUAAUACGGAAGGUCCAAGCGUUAAUCGGAAUUACUGGGCGUAAAGCGCGCGUAGGUGGUUUAUUAAAGUUGGGUGUGAAAGCCCCCGGGGCUCAACCUGGGGAACUGCAUCCCAAAAACUGGAUUCACUAGGAGUAC
rnacentral:rRNA from 1 species